rnacentral:rRNA from 1 species
UACGGAGGGUGCGAGCGUUGUCCGGAAUCACUGGGCGUAAAGGGCGCGUAGGCGGCCUGAUAAGUAGGGGGGUGAAAUCCUGCGGCUUAACCGCAGGGCUGCCUUCUAAACUGUCAGGCUAGAGCACAGUAGAGGCAGGUGGAAUUCCCGGUGUAGCGGUGGAAUGCGUAGAGAUCGGGAAGAACAUCAGUGGCGAAGGCGGUUCUCUGGGCCUUACCUGACGCUGAGGAGCGAAAGCGUGGGGAGCGAACAGG